rnacentral:snoRNA from 1 species
UUGUUUGCUGUGACGAUACAAUUUGUGGUUUAAGUUUCUGAUCUGAGUUCUCUCAGAAGUUGAUUACAAACCCUUGGCUGUCUGAGCACAA